rnacentral:lncRNA from 1 species
UGUGUCACUGUGUCACUGUGUGUCACUGUGUGUCACUGUGUGUCACUGUGUCACUGUGUCACUGUGUCACUGUGUGUCACUGUCACUGUCACUGUGUCACUGUGUGUCACUGUGUCACUGUGUCACUGUCACUGUGUCACUGUGUGUCACUGUCACUGUCACUGCGUCACUGUCACUGUGUGUCACUGUCACUGUGUCACUGUCACUGUGUCACUGUGUGCUGUGUCCCUGUGUCCCUGUGUCACUGUGUCAUUGUGUCACUGUGGUGUCCCCUGAUGACCCCAUGUCCCCCACGAUGUCCUCCUGAUGUCCCUGUGGUGUCCCCAGGUGUCACUCACCAUGGUUGAAUCCUCCCAGCUCAGGAUCAGGAACCUGUGACGUUCCCCAGGUGUCCCCAGGUGUGUCCCCAGGUGUCCCCAGGUGUGUCCCCAGGUGUCCCCAUGUCCCCCCAGGUGUCCCCAUGUCCCCAGGUGUCACUCACCAUGGUGGAGUCCUUCUGGCUCAGGAUCAGGAACCCGUGACGUUCCCCAGGUGUCCCCAGGUGUGUCCCAGGUGUCCCCAGGUGUAUCUCAGGUGUCCCCAGGUGUGUCCCAGGUGUCCCCAGGUGUGUCCCAGGUGUAUCUCAGGUGUCCCCAGGUGUGUCCCCAUGUCCCCCCAGGUGUCCCCAGGUGUCCCCAGGUGUCACUCACCAUGGUGGAGUCCUCCCGGCUCAGGAUCAGGAACCCGUGACGUUCCCCGUCCUCCUCGGAACUUUCCGGAGCCGUCGCUGCCGCCUCGGGCUCUGCGCUGGUCCCUGGGGCCACCUCCGGCUGUGGGGACAGGGACAGGGUGGGGACACUGUGGGGACACUGUGGGACACCGUGGGACACCAUGGGGACAGGGACAGGGACAGGGACAGGGUGGGGACACUGUGGGACACCAUGGGGACAGGGACAGGGACACAGUGGGGACACUGUGGGGACACUGUGGGACACGGUGGGGACAGGGACAGGGACAGGGACACAGUGGGACACCGUGGGGACAGGGACACAGUGGGGACAGGGACAGUGUGGGGACAGGGACAGGGAGAGCGUGGGGCCAGGGACACACUGGGGACAGGGACACACUGGGGACAGGGACAGCAUGGGGACAGGGACACAGGGACACAGGGACACACUGGGGACAGGGACACAGGGACAGGGACACACUGGGGACAGGGACAGCGAGGGGACAGGGACACACUGGGGACAGGGAUGGGGACAGGGAUAGGGACACAGGGACAGCGUGGGGCCAGGGACACUGUGGGGACAGGGACACUGUGACAAGGGGACACACGGACAUGGAAGGACCUGGGGACACAGAGACAGGGACAGGAACACGGUGACACGAGGGGACACAGGAAGGUGACACAGUGACACAGGGGAGGGGACACGGUGACACGAGGGGACAUGGGGAGGGGACACGGUGACACAGUGACAUGAGGUGACAUCAGGUGAUACAUGGCAACACACAGUGACACAAGGUGAGGUGACAUACAGUGACACACGGUGACACACAGUGACACACAGUGACACAGUGACACACAGUGACAGUGACACACGGUGACACAGGUGACACACAAUGACACACAGUGACACACAGUGACACAGUGACACAGUGACACACAGUGAAACAGUGACACACAAUGACACACAGUGACACACAGUGACACACAGUGACAGUGACACAGUGACACACAGUGACACAGUCACACGCAGUCACACACAGUGACACACAGUGACACACGGUGAGGUGACACACAGUGACACACACGGUGACACAGUGACACACAGUGACACAGUGACACAGAGUGACAGUGACACACGGUGACACAGUGACACACGGUGACAGUGACACACAGUGACACACGGUGACACACACGGUGACACACACGGUGACACGGUGACACACCUGCUGGCGCGGCGGGGGCGCGGUGACCGUCCACAUGUCGUAACAGCCGGGGAGCUCAAACGUGGUGACAACCUGCGGCCGGA